rnacentral:lncRNA from 1 species
AUAGAAAAGAAAAAAAAAGGCCUCCCAUUUCAUUUUCUCUGUUAGGGUUUUAAAACCCUUUUUAGCCGCCAUCGCAGCUCCACCGCUAAUGGUGGUCGGAGACGCGCCAUUUUAGGCUCUUAGCCUCUUUCAAGCAGAUCCGAAGGCAAAGGUAACCCUUUUUUUUUAUCUUCUUGUUGAAAGGGAAACAAAACAGAAUAAAAAAAUAAAAAUAAAAAAGAAAGAGGAAAGAUUGAAAUCAAAAACAGGAAAUCACCUUAGUUUUUUUUUGCUUUUUAUUUCUUUUCUUCUUAAUGUUUUCUUUCUUUUUUUACAAAAAAAAUCGGGACUCCCAAGUACAGUGAUGAAGCCCCCCUGAUUACAUUUCUUCAUGGCUUUUAUAGCCUAAAAAUCUGUUCUAUUCUAUUUUAUUUUUCAUUUCUGUCCAACAUUGCUACUGUUGCUAUUGUUGUUUUCAUCUUUUCUUGCAGGUAUCCUUUUCAGCCUUCUUUUGCAGUCGAUGGCGGUCAACGGAGGCAAGUAUUUGCCGUUUUGGUGCAAGGCGCGCAGACCUCGGGCGUGGUGCGCGCUGAAGGCGCACAUGGGUAGCAGCGGCGCGAGGCAAGGGCAGGGAACCCUAGGGUUCCCUGUGCUGUUUAGUUUUUGGGCCCCAAUGGGCCGUUCAAGGUUUUAAAGAUUUGGGCCGUUUUGGCCUGUUGUACAUGGAUCGUUUUGGGCCCGGGCAAAUUGGGUUGUACAUCCUUCCUCAUCUUUCAUAAUUCCUAAGAUGGCUCAUACUUUACUUUGGUUAAAUUUCUUCUUAAUCCUUCCUUCCUUUUCACUACUAUUAUGUAUCUCCUAACUUAUUAUUUUUCCUAUCUUGGCCACAACAAAUUCUCUAUUCUUUCAAUUAAGUCA